AUUUUUAUGUGACUUAUCAGUCAUGACUUGGAACUGUUCUUUGUAUUUGUAAAUAUACAAUUGCAAUAUAUGUAUUCGGUACCAGGAGUAUGUCUUCUUCAUAAGAUCAGAUCAGAAACAACAACAAUACAGAAAGUGUAGCAAAAAGACAAAUGUUCCCUAAAAGUCUAUAAAUAUUCUAGUUGCCGAACUGAUUUAAAAAAAAUUAUUGAUAAAAGAUUUUGGUGUUGCAAAUAAUUGCUUUUCAGUAGUGAGAUAACGCAAGAAUCAAUCAUAUUAUAUAUAUUCUGUUGGCUAUCUCAAGUUUAGGUCGAAGAUACUUUGGUUCAGACAACCACAUUCUGAUUCAGUGAUACUAGGGCGUUCUAGCGAAAACGAAAUCGUUGUCUCAGUGGUUCUGAACUUUUUUGGCGGAACGGAAUCUCUACGAAACAUUCAUAAUGAAAGGCUCGGGAAACUCCGUGCAAUUAACAAACUUGAGAAACCCAAAGACCAGCGGUUCUCAACCUUUUUUUCUUAAUUACCCACCCACCCCCAAUCACAGGGUGUUCAUUCCACACAUACUAAAGCCUUUAAUAAAAUUUGGAAAAGACUUUGUUUCAUUGGGCAUAGAAAUCAAGACCCCCAGUCUGUUCAUAGUUUUUGCUCUACAGUUCAAGGUAUCAGCGCUUGGAAAAGCUCGUGGUAAUAGAAAAUGGGUUUCGAUGCACUGUUUUGAUUAACAGCCCAGGGUGUUGCGCCUCCGUAAAAUUAUACAUCUGUGUAACAACACGCUUACACGAAGUUUCACUAGAAGUUCUUAUGGGGGUAUUGGCAUCUUUUGCCGCUUGCUGUCAGAUAUAUAUUAGGGUUUCCAUAAAUUAAUUUAUGGUGUUUACUGUGUAUAAUAUUUCACGAUCUCCUUUGUUCCCCACUGGACCCCCAUCAAUUCUCUACAAAUGGGAAAUUACAAUAACCCGCCGGUUGGAAACGGCUGCAUUCGACUGUAUUGGAGAAACCCCGAGGUGCCGCGAAACCGUGACUGAAAACCACUAUGUUAUUAAGUUUAUAGCCGCCGACAGAUUUUAGUUAAUCGCCUAUAAGUUACGCCUCUCGAAGGAUCUGCGAAUCUUAUUAGUGUUAUUUUAAUGUUGUAACAAAUUAACGGAUAAAUUCAAAUAUUUGAUAUCGCAUGUGAUUAUUAGCGAUAGACAUGUUGUAUCUUGUUUUACAUGGUUUUUAUCAUGUGAAUUGUUUCACAAUAAUUGAGCCGGAGCAAAAUCCUGCUCCGUGAAAACGAAUGGUUUAAGAUAAAAAGAGAGAGGUGAUUUUAAGCGAGUAAUAUGAAAUGUGUGUUUCGCCGGAAUAAUUUGAAAAAACAAUUUUUGAGGAGCGUUCAACUUCUUCUGAAGGUCUUGGGCGCCAUACCCCAUACCACGAAAGCCAAGAAUCAUCAACUUAUCCUCGUUACCGCCCCAAUGACCCUUCCAGCAGUCGUCCAAAGGGUGUGUCCAACCGUAAGUAUUUCACCCCCAGGGUCACCGGUAAGGAUGACCAAAUUAAAUCCCGAAAAGCUUUCUCAUAUGGGAAAAGUGAAGCUGUUAACGAGCAACCACAGAGCAAGGAGCCCAGUCGAGCAGCCAACUACGGCUAGAGCUAAAACAGCGAUACAGAAAGAGGCUACUGUUAUUAUACAACGAACUCGUGAUCAACCACAGAGAAGUAAUAGAGUUAUACCUCCGAAACAGUCUGAGAGCCGUCAGAGUGCGGGUGCGAAAAAAUUGUUGACUAUAAUUACUGAUUGUUGACUAUAAUCAGUGAAACAGAAUAAAUUACCAAAAUUAAUAUAUACUAGUGUGAUAACACAAGACUCAUGACCUGAUGAAUGACAUGUUACGUAAUCAAUAAAUUAUAUAGCCUACAAGGCAAAUUUAGGAAGCGCCCUAUUCUCACCAAAUGAAGUGCCCAUUUUCUCGCCUAUUUAUUGUGCCUAUAUUUCGCCUUUAUAUUUAUACAUUAUGGUUUUCUUAUUGCUAUUUGAGCACCCAAUCAAUACGGACCGUUUUAUUAAAAGAAUUACCCUAUGUUGCAAUCACUAAAAAUCUAAGAAGCUUUUGAGACCUGAAAUUUUAAUGCUCCCUUACCAUGAAUUAUCACCGAUAACGCAAAAAUCUAUGGAACAGCCGUCGCAAGAGAUCGUAAUAACUGUUUAUAGCAAGUUGUUAUCAUCCAGACAAUCCUACUAUCUAAGGUACAAUUUUGAUUCAUUGAUCCAUUAUCACUUGAAUUCAUCUCAAAUUGAUAAAAUCGUACAUUUACAACCUGCAAUAAAUUCCAACUUGUGUGAAAGAUAUAUUACAAUUAUUACUCCGACUGUUUCACAUCAAAACAUGUAAUAAAUACAAUAAAACAUGUAGAGACAUUCUUAUGGUUCUUACUCCUUCCUAUUAUAUAUAUCUAAAUCAAAUUAACAUCCAUUCCAGCUCGAGAACGUAACUGAUAUUAUUUUUUUUUAAUUUUAGAGUCAGAUUAGUAGAUUGUACAAUAACAAGUUAGUGGACACAUAAACCCUUUCCGUGCGUUGGGCACGUAUACGUACCACUACCAACAACAAAAGUCGCCAGAUUGCGGCGGGAAUUUUGGAGUCGUGCGCACCCGCUCGUCGUGUUUUCAACAACUACCAAGAAUAUUUGGAAUGGAACAGAUACGGAUCGGAUCAAGCGAAUAUAACAAGCGCGCGCUUGGCGGGAUCUUUGAUUGAUGAAGGACUGUAUACCGGCUACAUAUCAAGAAUCGCGCUGGAACGGCAAUAUCGGUCACUUUGUGAUAUCGGUAAUUGUAUUGGCAUCGCUAAAAAUAGACCUCUUUAAUCUGAUCAAGAAUGUUUUAAAAGAUAAUUAUACUGACGAUGAUAACUGAAAAUCUUUUUUUGCCGUGGAGCGAUCAUAUCGAGAUAUUCAUUGCCUCGUUAGGUCUUCACCGAUGUUGUAUUGCGUAACAGAGUACCGAGCAGUUGCCACUAAGUCACGUCAGCAUCCCACCUUUUCAAUUCUAUAGGUGACGUAAUAAUUGACAACUUGAGUUUUGCAAUCGAAAACAUAUGACGCUUUAGAUAUGAUGCAAAGUUAGAUCGUAAGAAAUGAAUUUCCAAACAGUUGUACACUUUUUAUAAAUUUAAUGUGAUUCCGGAGAUUCCGGAUUCCAUGAAACGCUGCGUGUGCUUGGCAGAUUGAGAUUAGGCCAUUACCCUGCGGCCAAAUCAGCAUAACAGAUUAGAGCAAUAUUUACAAAACACGCUAAUACAACGAAACCGUAGACAAAGAAUGAAACAAAUAAAUCGAAAGCUGAAAAUAAACCGCAGGAAUGUAUUCUUGCAAAACGCGCAUCGAUAUCUAGGAAAUAUUCAACAUUACAUAAGUCCAAAUGAUACGUAGUACUGACAAAAGAAUCAUAUUAUCUACAUCUCUCCAAAUGCGACAUUAUCAAAUCUCGAAAAAAUAGCCAUAAUGAAAAAAAAAUUCACACAAAACGGGGCGCAAUAUAUCUGAGUUUCAUAACUGGCUUGGUUCUAUUUUUAAGUCAAUUAGGAUUCAUUGCCAUUCAUUCAUUGUCAGUCAUUAAAACAGAUUUAUUAUAAACGUAUACAUCCCAUACAAUAUUAGUGUGGUCGGAAAGGUAAUAAAUACAGCACAUAUCCGGCCAGACAAGUGAAGGAGUGAAAUUUAGAAUAUGAAAGAAGAAAACAAUAUCACAUACUAAUGAGAACAUAUAUCACAAAACAAUAUUUGACAAUAUCAAGAGGAACCGUAUUUUUGAUAAUGAAGUAAACAGUCCUCAAGAUUCCUUUUGGGUGGUAAAAACAAGAUAAGGUUGAAUAUCAUCAAUAGGUACGUACCAUGGGAAAAUGAUCAGAACUAAAAUAGAUUGAAACAACUUGCACGUAGCAUACAGUGACGCAACCAAGCCGGUUUGUCGUAGAGGUUGACCCACAACAAAAAACAGAAUCUAUAAAGUUCUUAAUCACCUCCACAAAAAUGAUGAAAAUUUAUUUAACACUUGAACUUUGUUUGUGUAUGAUUGUACUCAAAAGCAUCAGUAAUCUAGGACGCUUGCACAAAAGUUAUAUUCUCCCUAGAAUAUGUUUCAAACGACCUUGGUUUUUUCUUGGUUUCUCUGUAUUUGAAACUCAAUUUAGGCAACAUAGGAUUGCAAAAUAUCCACAUGAAAUAUUUUACCUGAACAAUGCUAAUUUAAAGCCAGAUUAUUUAAUUUAGUGAUACCAUUUAACUCGUUAAUUAAGAACCUCCAAAGUUCUGAUUAUGAUUCUAUGUCAUGGUCUUGAUUUAAAUUUAAAGCAAAAUAGAUUACAGCAUAUUUCAACUAUAAUAACAUUUAAUAUAAAUGAUAUGUAUAUCUGGAAAUAAAAACAAAACAUUGGAAAAACAUAGAAAAAAAAAGCUAUGCAAUACCACACAAGCAGCAAAAUCAGUAAUCAUUUAUAGGCAACAUGAUGUGGCAGAUAACAAAAAAAAUAAAUAUUGCAACAAUAGCACUUUAUAUAACACAUGACAACAGAAACACGGUAUCUGAGCCAAAUUUUUACACUGGAGCACAGGCAAGGUAUAAAUACUCUAUAUAACACAGUUAAAUACUUGGCAAAUACUUCAUCUCAUUGGCAAGUGGAGAGGCAGAAUUUUAUAAGAGGAAGAAAUAUAGCUACAUAUUCAAGUGGUAGUUCCCAUUGAGGGAUUGUUCUAAGCUAGCCAAUAAGUGUAUCUCAUGGACAUACACAAUUUUAAGACUUAAAUUAGCAAGGUGAGUUACACAAAUUGCGCCAACAUGAUGAAGAAUGAAAUUGGCAAUGUUUUUGCUUUAUCAAGUAUAAUUACAGAUACAAACAUUUGUUAUUCAAAUGUAGUGUGCAGUUUUCAUGGAAAAUAUAUGAUGGAAAAGAUCUGGUAUUUAUUGGUACUUUAUUAGAAAACCACCAAAUACUCGACAAUAAAAUUGGACAUUUAUUACAUUGUAUUGGAGAAAUUAAAGGGUGGGAGGCAUUCAUUGGUAUAUUAGUCUGAUUUUGAUUAUGGGAGUAGCAAAUGAUGUAUAAAUUUGAUAAGAUGAUAAAAGACACUUUCCCAAACCAAUCAAAACUAAUUCUCUGACAUUACAAUACCAGAUAUUAUAGGAGAAUAUAUAAUUAAUUUCAAUGUUUGUCAGUUAAAUUGACUGAAUGAAUCAAACCAUCCAGCCAUAGGAGUGUGAUAAAAUGUGUCAAAAGAAAUCAGGAAGAUAUGAAAUAUGGUGUUAGUUUGAGACCAAACAAUUUUUGUACCAAAUCAAUGCUAUUUAUUUGACAUAAAAAAGUUGGGUAUGAAUGUUGAAGUAUGGUCUAACUAAACUAAAAUAUAUGAACAGAAGCACAAUAAAGGUAUACAAAUCACAUAAAUGGCAUAAGACUAGAAACGUACUCAGCUAAUAACAUGCACAUAUAAUAAAUAUCAGAUAAUGAUAAUAAUUUUGUACCAUAUUUAAUAUUGAAACUAAAUGAAUAGGAAUCUGGCAGGCUAGAGGAAAAGUAUUUCAGUAUUAAUAGAACUUGACAUAUUCAAGAUUUCAAAUUUAGGUUUUUUAUGAAUUACAGACUAUUCAAAAUCAAAAACAAUUGCAAAAGGAAGUCUACAAUUCCAGAAAAUUAAUAAAAGAAUGCUCGAAAAUCAUCAAAUUAUGGCAAUCAUCGCAUCUCUAGUUAUUUUUGAAUAAACUAUUUUUUUUGCAUAUGAAUUGCUAUAAAUAACUGAAUAUUGUUUACAUAGUUUAAUGAAUUAUCAGCAAAAAGCUUCUUGAUUGCUCAAAUAACUCAAAUCUUUCAGUAAUGAAUGCACGGGUAACAUAAAAAAUUAAUAUUCAAUCUACACCAUUGAGAGAAAAACACAAGUAACAAUUCCAAAAAAUAAAGGUUUGGAAUUCAAUACUUACUAACCAAGAAGUUGUGCUACAUUAUUAACAAAAUAUUUCAAAAUUAUACAUAGUUCAUGUGUAUCGCUUUCAUUGUCAUAAAAUGGAACCACCAGAUUGUUAAUUAUAUUAAGAGAUGUCAAAUGUUUCACAAAUAAUACUAGGUAAUUCUAUAUAUCAUCAUAGCAGGUUAGGCAAAAGUGCAAUUGGAGAUGUAGUAAAGAAACAUGGAUCGAAAAUGCUACAUAAUGCAAUUUCGAUACCGCACGAAAGCAUUGAUAAAAAUCACUCAUAUUGCAGACCAAAAAAACAUUGUUGGCAGUUGAUCCAACUGAAAUAUUGCGAUGUACUACAAAUAUCUGAAAUAGCAAGUUAGACAGAACAUUUGUUUCGGUAAAAUGAGUAAAAUAUUGGACUUAUGAACUUGUGUAAGCUACCGAAACAAACAUAAUAGAAGUGUAUAUCACUCAAUCAAAACAAGUCACGAACGGUAUGGUAUUUUGUCCUAGUAAUAAGUAAAAAAUUCUAACACUUCUAAUCCAAUAUUUCUAAUGUUCAUGAAUGUAUAAUUAGUGUGCUGGGAAUAGUAAACAAAAUAUACAAUAUAUUCAGACAUCACAACAUGAAGAAACAGUGGAAAUCAAGAAAAAUUCAUGGCAAGAUAGCGCUGGUUGUUACUGCACAGCAAUACAACAAAAAUGUAAAAUUUAGUUCAUCCUCCCAACACAAUAGCUAUAUUGGAGCCCGGGCAUGAUCUGCAAUGUCAACAUAUCAGCACCAAUAGUCUUCACACGAAAUUAGUAAUAGAGUAUUCAAUUGUGAAACCAAACGUGUUUCAAGUAAGUACAAAAAAA